UACGUAGGUGGCAAGCGUUGUCCGGAUUUAUUGGGCGUAAAGGGAGCGCAGGCGGUUUUUUAAGUCUGAUGUGAAAGCCUACGGCUCAACCGUAGAAUUGCAUUGGAAACUGAAGAACUAGAGUGCAGAAGAGGAAAGUGGAACUCCAUGUGUAGCGGUGAAAUGCGUAGAUAUAUGGAGGAACACCAGUGGCGAAGGCGACUUUCUGGUCUGAUACUGACGCUGAGGCUCGAAAGCGUGGGGAGCAAACAGG
rnacentral:rRNA from 1 species